rnacentral:rRNA from 1 species
GGAUCCAGACUUUGAUUCUGGCUCAGGAUGAACGCUAGCUACAGGCUUAACACAUGCAAGUCGAGGGGCAGCAUUUUAGUUUGCUUGCAAACUAAAGAUGGCGACCCGCGCACGGGUGAGUAACACGUAUCCAACCUGCCGAUAACUCGGGGAUAGCCUUUCGAAAGAAAGAUUAAUAUCCGAUAGUAUAUUAAAACCGCAUGGUUUUACUAUUAAAGAAUUUCGGUUAUCGAUGGGGAUGCGUUCCAUUAGUUUGUUGGCGGGGUAACGGCCCACCAAGACUACGAUGGAUAGGGGUUCUGAGAGGAAGGUCCCCCACAUUGGAACUGAGACACGGUCCAAACUCCUACGGGAGGCAGCAGUGAGGAAUAUUGGUCAAUGGACGAGAGUCUGAACCAGCCAAGUAGCGUGAAGGAUGACUGCCCUAUGGGUUGUAAACUUCUUUUAUAUGGGAAUAAAGUAUUCCACGUGUGGGAUUUUGUAUGUACCAUAUGAAUAAGGAUCGGCUAACUCCGUGCCAGCAGCCGCGGUAAUACGGAGGAUCCGAGCGUUAUCCGGAUUUAUUGGGUUUAAAGGGAGCGUAGGUGGAUUGUUAAGUCAGUUGUGAAAGUUUGCGGCUCAACCGUAAAAUUGCAGUUGAAACUGGCAGUCUUGAGUACAGUAGAGGUGGGCGGAAUUCGUGGUGUAGCGGUGAAAUGCUUAGAUAUCACGAAGAACUCCGAUUGCGAAGGCAGCUCACUAGACUGCAACUGACACUGAUGCUCGAAAGUGUGGGUAUCAAACAGGAUUAGAUACCCUGGUAGUCCACACAGUAAACGAUGAAUACUCGCUGUUUGCGAUAUACAGUAAGCGGCCAAGCGAAAGCAUUAAGUAUUCCACCUGGGGAGUACGCCGGCAACGGUGCAACUCAAAGGAAUUGACGG